rnacentral:rRNA from 1 species
ACUCAAAUGAAUUGACGGGGACCCGCACAAGCAGUGGAGUAUGUGGUUUAAUUCGAAGCAACGCGAAGAACCUUACCAGGUCUUGACAUCCCCCUGAAAGGGCUAGAGAUAGCUCCGGCCUUCGGGACAGGGGAGACAGGUGGUGCAUGGUUGUCGUCAGCUCGUGUCGUGAGAUGUUGGGUUAAGUCCCGCAACGAGCGCAACCCUUGGAUUUAGUUGCCAGCACGUAAAGGUGGGCACUCUAGAUCGACUGCCGGUGACAAACCGGAGGAAGGCGGGGAUGACGUCAAAUCAUCAUGCCCCUUAUGACCUGGGCUACACACGUACUACAAUGGCCGGUACAACGGGCCGCGAAGCCGCGAGGCGGAGCCAAUCCUAGAAAAGCCGGUCUCAGUUCGGAUUGCAGGCUGCAACUCGCCUGCAUGAAGUCGGAAUUGCUAGUAAUCGCGGAUCAGCAUGCCGCGGUGAAUACGUUCCCGGGUCUUGUACACACCGCCCGU